rnacentral:rRNA from 1 species
CAAUAGCGUAUAUUUAAGUUGUUGCAGUUAAAAAGCUCGUAGUUGGAUUUCGGAUGGGACUUGCCGGUCCGUCGUUUCGAUGUGCACUGGCCAGUCCUAUCUUGUUGUCGGGGACUAGCUCCUGGGCUUCACUGUCCGGGACUAGGAGCUGACGAGGUUACUUUGAGUAAAUUAGAGUGUUCAAAGCAAGCCUACGCUCUGAAUACAUUAGCAUGGAAUAACACGAUAGGACUCUGGCUUAUCUUGUUGGUCUGUGAGACCAGAGUAAUGAUUAAGAGGGACAGUCGGGGGCAUUCGUAUUUCAUUGUCAGAGGUGAAAUUCUUGGAUUUAUGAAAGACGAACUUCUGCGAAAGCAUUUGUCAAGGAUGGUUUCAUUAA